UUCGGCCACAUCUAAAUUUGA
rnacentral:siRNA from 1 species